CCGUUCCGGAGCAGAAAUGACAACGCCCACCCUUUCUUUUUUAACUUUCUUAAGGCUGUGCAGGGCUCCCUUCAGGUGCAGAACAACUGACAUUUUGCUUCCUGCACUACGCCUCGUCUCAGAUUUCAGCAUGCGCGUCCCGCGGCACACCGUUGAAAGGUGCCUGCUGCGUGUGGAGUGCAGCUGACGGUUCGCGGUAACGGAUAUCGCCACACGGUUUUGCUGGGAGCCGCCGCCGUAUCAACGACCAGCCACGCGAACUACGUGGAUCACCGUAUCAGCAUCGAUAGGAGCGAGUGCGUGCAAACCAACCAACAUUUUUCACCGUCAACUUCUCAUGGCCCUGAGCUCCUAGGGACGCCUUUUGGUCAGCGCAGUGUGACUUCAUCGACAGCCGCUUGUAUAAAAGAACCGCUCUGCUGCUUGAACUUCAGUUGCUUCAGUGGGCACGGCGGACCCGGCCCUGCAACGAUGUUGACCAGGCACCUGUUCUUCAUUGUGCAGGGAAAGGAAGUGACCUAAGGCACCUAGUAUAUAACGGAACUUCCGCGACGUGCUCUCAG